CAGCCGCCGCGGUAAUACGGAGGGUGCAAGCGUUAAUCGGAAUUACUGGGCGUAAAGCGCACGCAGGCGGUCUGACAAGUCAGAUGUGAAAUCCCCGGGCUUAACCUGGGAACUGCAUUUGAAACUGUCAGGCUGGAGUCUUGUAGAGGGGGGUGGAAUUCCAGGUGUAGCGGUGAAAUGCGUAGAGAUCUGGAGGAAUACCGGUGGCGAAGGCGGCCCCCUGGACAAAGACUGACGCUCAGGUGCGAAAGCGUGGGGAGCAAACAGGAUUAGAGACCCCAGUAGUCCCUGUCUCUUAUAA
rnacentral:rRNA from 1 species